UACGGGGGGGGCAAGCGUUGUUCGGAUUCAUUGGGCGUAAAGGGUGUGUAGGUGGCGCCGUAAGUCGGGUGUGAAAUUUCGGAGCUUAACUCCGAAACUGCAUUCGAUACUGCGGUGCUUGAGGACUGGAGAGGAGACUGGAGUUCAUGGUGUAGCAGUGAAAUGCGUAGAUAUCGUAAGGAAGACCAGUGGCGAAGGCGGGUCUCGUGGACAGUUCCUGACGCUGAGGCACGAAGGCCAGGGGAGCAAACGGG
rnacentral:rRNA from 1 species